rnacentral:rRNA from 1 species
GAUGAACGCUGGCGGCGUGCCUAACACAUGCAAGUUGAACGAAGACAUACCGACGGAAUCCUUCGGGAGGAAGAUGGUAUGGACUGAGUGGCGGACGGGUGAGUAACGCGUGGGUAACCUGCCCUGUACAGGGGGACAACAGUUAGAAAUGACUGCUAAUACCGCAUAAGCGCACAGUACCGCAUGGUACAGUGUGAAAAACUCCGGUGGUACAGGAUGGGCCCGCGUCUGAUUAGUUAGUUGGCGGGGUAACGGCCCACCAAGACGACGAUCAGUAGCCGGCUUGAGAGAGUGAACGGCCACAUUGGGACUGAGACACGGCCCAAAACUCCUACGGGGAGGCAGCAGUGGGGAAUAUUGCACAAUGGGGGAAACCCUGAUGCAGCAACGCCGCGUGAGUGAAGAAGUAUUUCGGUAUGUAAAGCUCUAUCAGCAGGGAAGAAAAUGACGGUACCUGACUAAGAAGCCCCGGCUAACUACGUG